rnacentral:rRNA from 1 species
AACGUAGGAGACAACCGUUAUCCGGAGUUACUGGGCGUAAAGGGCGUGUAGGUGGUUUUGUAAGUCUGGCGUGAAAUUUUUCGGCUUAACCGGGAAAGGUCGUCGGAUACUGCAAGGCUAGAGGACGGUAGAGGCGUGUGGAAUUCCGGGUGUAGUGGUGAAAUGCGUAGAGAUCCGGAGGAACACCAGUGGCGAAGGCGACACGCUGGGCCGUACCUGACACUGAUGCGCGAUAGCAUGGGGAGCAAACAGG